AUUGAAUGCUGGCGGCAUGCCUUACACAUGCAAGUCGAACGGCAGCACGGGAGCUUGCUCCUGGUGGCGAGUGGCGAACGGGUGAGUAAUACAUCGGAACGUACCCUGAAGUGGGGGAUAACGUAGCGAAAGUUACGCUAAUACCGCAUAUUCUGUGAGCAGGAAAGAGGGGGAUCGCAAGACCUCUUGCUUUAGGAGCGGCCGAUGUCGGAUUAGCUAGUUGGUGAGGUAAAGGCUCACCAAGGCGACGAUCCGUAGCGGGUCUGAGAGGAUGAUCCGCCACACUGGGACUGAGACACGGCCCAGACUCCUACGGGAGGCAGCAGUGGGGAAUUUUGGACAAUGGGCGCAAGCCUGAUCCAGCCAUGCCGCGUG
rnacentral:rRNA from 1 species